rnacentral:rRNA from 1 species
CCUACGGGGGGCAGCAGUGAGGAAUAUUGGUCAAUGGACGAGAGUCUGAACCAGCCAAGUAGCGUGAAGGAUGACUGCCCUAUGGGUUGUAAACUUCUUUUAUAUGGGAAUAAAACGUUCCACGUGUGGGAUUUUGUAUGUACCAUAUGAAUAAGGAUCGGCUAACUCCGUGCCAGCAGCCGCGGUAAUACGGAGGAUCCGAGCGUUAUCCGGAUUUAUUGGGUUUAAAGGGAGCGUAGGUGGAUUGUUAAGUCAGUUGUGAAAGUUUGCGGCUCAACCGUAAAAUUGCAGUUGAAACUGGCAGUCUUGAGUACAGUAGAGGUGGGCGGAAUUCGUGGUGUAGCGGUGAAAUGCUUAGAUAUCACGAAGAACGCCGAUUGCGAAGGCAGUUCACUGGACUGCAACUGACACUGAGGCUCGAAAGUGUGGGUAUCAAACAGGAUUAGAUACCCUUGUAGUC